UACGUAGGCAGCGAGCGUUGUUCGGAAUUACUGGGCGUAAAGAGUGUGUAGGCGGUGCUCUAAGUUCGGUGUGAAAUCUCCCCGGCUUAACUGGGAGGGUGCGCCGGAAACUGGAGUGCUCGAGCGUGGGAGAGGAAAGCGGAAUUCCCGGUCGUAGCGGUGAAAUGCGUAGAUAUCGGGGAGGAACACCUGCGGUGUAGACGGCUUUCUGGACCAUGCUGACGCUGAGACACGAAAGCGUGGGUAGCAAACAGG
rnacentral:rRNA from 1 species